GUCUGGAUAGCUCAGUUGGUUAGAGCAUGGUGCUGAUAAUGCCAAGGAUGCAGGUUCAAUCCCUGUAUGGGACA